AGAGCGAACGCUGGCGGCAGGCCUAACACAUGCAAGUCGAGCGCCCGUAGCAAUACGGGAGCGGCAGACGGGAUAGUAACACGUGGGAACGCGCCCUUCGGUUCGGAAUAACUCAGGGAAACUUGAGCUAAUACCGAAUACGCCCUUACGGGGAAAGAUUUAUUGCCGAAGGAACGGCCCGCGUCCGAUUAGCUAGUUGGUGAGGUAAUGGCUCACCAAGGCUACGAUCGGUAGCUGGUCUGAGAGGAUGACCAGCAUCACUGGGACUGAGACACGGCCCAGACUCCUACGGGAGGCAGCAGUGGGGAAUAUUGGACAAUGGGCGAAAGCCUGAUCCAGCCAUGCCGCGUGGAUGAUGAAGGCCUUAGGGUUGUAAAGUCCUUUAACGGGAAGAUAAUGACGGUACCGUAGAAUAAGCCCGGCUAACUUCGUGCCAGCAGCCGC
rnacentral:rRNA from 1 species